UGGGCCAUAUUGGAAUCUUAAAAGCGU
rnacentral:piRNA from 1 species